GACGAACGCUGGCGGCGUGCUUAACACAUGCAAGUCGAACGGAAAGGCCCAGCUUGCUGGGUACUCGAGUGGCGAACGGGUGAGUAACACGUGGGUGAUCUGCCCCUGACUUUGGGAUAAGCCUGGGAAACUGGGUCUAAUACCGGAUAUGACCUUACAUCGCAUGGUGUGUGGUGGAAAGCUUUUGCGGUUGGGGAUGGGCCCGCGGCCUAUCAGCUUGUUGGUGGGGUAAUGGCCUACCAAGGCGACGACGGGUAGCCGACCUGAGAGGGUGAUCGGCCACAAUGGGACUGAGACACGGCCCAGACUCCUACGGGAGGCAGCAGUGGGGAAUAUUGCACAACGGGCGCGAGCCUGAUGCAGCGACGCCGCGUGAGGGAUGACGGCCUUCGGGUUGUAACCCUCUUUCACCUGGGACGAAGCGUGCGUGACGGUACCUGGAGAAGAAGCACCCGCCAACUACGUG
rnacentral:rRNA from 1 species